rnacentral:rRNA from 1 species
UACGGGAGGCAGCAGUGGGGAAUAUUGCACAAUGGGCGAAAGCCUGAUGCAGCAACGCCGCGUGAAGGAUGAAGGCCCUUGGGUCGUAAACUUCUGUUCUAAGGGAAGAUAAUGACGGUACCUUAGGAGCAAGUCCCGGCUAACUACGUGCCAGCAGCCGCGGUAAU